rnacentral:rRNA from 1 species
GACGAACGCUGGCGGCGUGCUUAACACAUGCAAGUCGAACGGAAAGGCCCUGCUUUUGUGGGGUGCUCGAGUGGCGAACGGGUGAGUAACACGUGAGUAACCUGCCCUUGACUUUGGGAUAACUUCAGGAAACUGGGGCUCAUACCGGAUAGGAGCUCCUGCUGCAUGGUGGGGGUUGGAAAGUUUCGGCGGUUGGGGAUGGACUCGCGGCUUAUCAGCUUGUUGGUGGGGUAGUGGCUUACCAAGGCUUUGACGGGUAGCCGGCCUGAGAGGGUGACCGGCCACAUUGGGACUGAGAUACGGACCAGACUACUACGGGAGGCAGCAGUGGGGAAUAUUGCACAAUGGGCGGAAGCCUGAUGCAGCAACGCCGCGUGCGGGAUGACGGCCUUCGGGUUGUAAACCGCUUUCGCCUGUGACGAAGCGUGAGUGACGGUAAUGGGUAAAGAAGCACCGGCUAACUAC